rnacentral:tRNA from 1 species
UCCCUGGUAGUCCAGUGGUUAGGACUCUGUGUUUCAGCGCUGACGGUCCAGGUUCAGUCCCUGGUCAGGGAA